AGAGUUUGAUCCUGGCUCAGAACGAACGCUGGCGGCAGGCUUAACACAUGCAAGUCGAACGCACCUUUCGGGGUGAGUGGCAGACGGGUGAGUAACGCGUGGGAACGUGCCCUUCAGUUCGGGAUAACCCAGGGAAACUUGGGCUAAUACCGGAUACGUGCGAGAGCAGAAAGAUUUAUCGCUGAAGGAUCGGCCCGCGUCUGAUUAGCUAGUUGGUGGGGUAAUGGCCCACCAAGGCGACGAUCAGUAGCUGGUCUGAGAGGAUGAUCAGCCACAUUGGGACUGAGACACGGCCCAAACUCCUACGGGAGGCAGCAGUGGGGAAUAUUGGACAAUGGGCGCAAGCCUGAUCCAGCCAUGCCGCGUGAGUGAUGAAGGCCUUAGGGUUGUAAAGCUCUUUCGUCCGGGACGAUAAUGACGGUACCGGAAGAAGAAGCCCCGGCUAACUUCGUGCCAGCAGCCGCGGUAAUACGAAGGGGGCUAGCGUUGUUCGGAAUCACUGGGCGUAAAGGGCGCGUAGGCGGCUUUGUAAGUCGGGGGUGAAAGCCUGUGGCUCAACCACAGAAUUGCCUUCGAUACUGCAUGGCUUGAGACCGGAAGAGGUAAGUGGAACUGCGAGUGUAGAGGUGAAAUUCGUAGAUAUUCGCAAGAACACCAGUGGCGAAGGCGGCUUACUGGUCCGGUUCUGACGCUGAGGCGCGAAAGCGUGGGGAGCAAACAGGAUUAGAUACCCUAGUAGUCC
rnacentral:rRNA from 1 species